rnacentral:rRNA from 1 species
CCUACGGGAGGCAGCAGUGGGGAAUAUUGGACAAUGGGGGAAACCCUGAUCCAGCAAUGCCGCGUGAGUGAAGAAGGCCUUCGGGUUGUAAAGCUCUUUUGCCAGGGAAGAAAAGCCCCUGUUAAUACCGGCCGGGUCUUGACGGUACCUGAAGAAGAAGCACCGGCUAACUACG